UCAGGAUCACAUACCUUAUCUUCCCCACCUUGAAGAAUCAGCAAAGGGACUUGUAGUUCAUGAGAGUUCCUCUGUAUAUACUCACAGACUUUCAGAAGCUCUAGUGCAGUGGCAGCUGGUGGCUUCUCGGAAGCCAGGCGAUUUGGACUUUUUGAGAUAAUCUUUCUCUUCCACUCCUCUUUGUAUGAUAUAGAUGCAGAGAAG
rnacentral:misc_RNA from 1 species